rnacentral:lncRNA from 1 species
AAGAAGAGUCUGAGCCCCAGUGCUGCACCCUGCUCUUCCCAGGGAAACAUAUUUAGUGCUAGCAACUGGUUGUAAUUUCUCACUGGACUAAGUAGGAGUGUGAGGGUGGCACAUGCCACAGUAUUGCACAUGCUGAGAAACUGACAAGGACCAGGAUGCCCUCUGAAUUUUCAUACCCAGGAGCUGUAUGUCGGACCACUUCAUGCUCUUUUCUCACAGACACAGCUGCUGGGUUUAUUCAAGCAACUAUGCGGAAAACCUUUUCAAUGUGUAAUGUCAGCUUGUCUGGAAUCUCUAGUGGUCCCUGGCUUCAAGCCCCCUCUUCAAAGACUUUGUCAUGCGCAAAAUGGCUGUGGAAUCCUGAGGAUAGAAGGGAAUCCAAGAUUUGGAUGUGACUGGCUGUAAGGGGAAGAAAUGAUGCCAGCAGAUCAGCCUGAAGAGGCAGCAUGGACUGGUGUUCCUGUAUUACUUUGGAAUUUUAAAAUUAUUUUAUGUAACAAAAUCAGAUGCCAGGAACAUUAGUAUUGCCUGAAGGUCUCAGCAGCUUCUGUACUAACUGGUUGAGGUUUAUCCUGUUUAUGUCUGUUUGGAUAAAGCACAAUGCCAUCGUUAAGAGUCAAGAAUGUAAGCCAAACCUCUGGAGGAGGUUUUGAGCCAAAAUUCCUGGGGGAUGAGGAGGGGAGAGGCAGCAUGAAGAUGCUGAACUGUGCAAAGUGACCUCACUUCCUGUGGCAAAACUCUGCCCCUAAUGGGAAUGUCUGCCAGAGCUGGAGGAAUCAAGGUUUUCCUCCCAGUCAAACAGCAGGACUUAUCAUCGGCCUUGCUGCUGGCAGUAGGGGAGACAGGUUUAUCUAUAGUAGGGCAAGCAGCAGAGACAGGCAGAUGCCAAGGUCUUGAUGCCAAGGAAUAUCUAAGGGUGAAUGUGGUAGCACUUUAAAAAGAAAAGCAAUCAGGAAUUACGAAAUGAACUGUGUAACAGUAAAUCUGACAUCCAUAUCAGGCCUACUAUUGCUGAAAAAUAACAUUCUAGUAUAGAUGUUAAGUUUUCAAGCUGUGUUUUCAGGUAUAUUGGGGGACAGAUAACAUAUCUAUUGUAAAAGAAGCCUUGUGAUGCAAAUCUAUUAGAUUGAAGGAGUAUGUUAAUAAGAUUCUGGUGAUAUAGAUAUGCAAAAACUACAGAAAUAUUUAAGACUUAAAAGUUUUUGACUAAAAUUCUUCAUUAAAUGCUCUUUUAGAAACAAUGUUGGUCAUGGACUGAAAGAGAUGGUCCUUUUCUGGCUUAGUAACUGAUUUAUGGAUAGGAAGAAAAGGGUUAGAACAAAUCUGAAGGGAAGGCAUUAGUGACAGUGGGGAUUAUGCUGCUCUGCAUGUCUGUGGGUGUUCUGGAAAAGAGAUGAAAAGUGAGGUGACAAAACUUGGUGAUGAGAGAAAAGUAUUUGCCAUAGUCAAACAAGAAUCCAGCUGAGAAAUAGGAAUCUUAAAUCAGUGAGUGACUGGGAAAUAAAGUGACAGUGGAAAGUCUGUGUUGACA